CAGCUUACUGUCCACGGUCACACCUAGGUCACGUAUGGAAUUAACCCGCUCAAGAGCGGUCGAAUUAAUAUGUCAUACCAUUUGCAUCGCACCACAACAAAAGUUGAUCUAUAUCAGUUUGCAAAGCUUCACAAUCCAGGACGGAUGCAAUCACCCGGAAUAUUUUCAGGUCGUCGGCAAAGAAUAAUUUUUUCGAUGACAAACGGUGGGCGAGAUCGUUUAUGUAUAGAACGAAGAUAAGAGGCCCGAGUACGCUUCCUUGAGGAACUCCAGAUGUAAUGUUAAACGAUGCCGAGACUUCGUGAUCAACUUGUACGAAAGCUAUCCGCCCGGUGAAACCAGUUCGGCUGCGCAUCCCUUGACGAUGAAUGGCGUCAAUCCAUCCACACCAGGUCCUUUGGAAACAUCCAGAUCGUUCAGCGCUUCGAAAACGUCUCUAGUAGUAAAACGGAAAUGAGGAAGAUACA